GCCAGCGGCGAUAGCACGUUGAAGGCACCGGUUUCCAAUGGACCACUGAAGUUAAGUAACGUUGCGCUUGGUUAGUAUCCGGAUUGGUGACCAUCUGAGUGAGGAGACGGGUAGCUUGUC
rnacentral:rRNA from 1 species